GGGUUGUGAGGUUAAGCGACUAAGCGUACACGGUGGAUGCCCUGGCAGUCAGAGGCGAUGAAGGACGUGCUAAUCUGCGAUAAGCGUCGGUAAGGUGAUAUGAACCGUUAUAACCGGCGAUUUCCGAAUGGGGAAACCCAGUGUGAUUCGUCACACUAUCAUUAACUGAAUCCAUAGGUUAAUGAGGCGAACCGGGGGAACUGAAACAUCUAAGUACCCCGAGGAAAAGAAAUCAACCGAGAUUCCCCCAGUAGCGGCGAGCGAACGGGGAGCAGCCCAGAGCCUGAAUCAGUGUGUGUGUUAGUGGAAGCGUCUGGAAAGGCGCGCGAUACAGGGUGACAGCCCCGUACACAAAAAUGCACAUGCUGUGAGCUCGAUGAGUAGGGCGGGACACGUGGUAUCCUGUCUGAAUAUGGGGGGACCAUCCUCCAAGGCUAAAUACUCCUGACUGACCGAUAGUGAACCAGUACCGUGAGGGAAAGGCGAAAAGAACCCCGGCGAGGGGAGUGAAAAAGAACCUGAAACCGUGUACGUACAAGCAGUGGGAGCACGCUUAGGCGUGUGACUGCGUACCUUUUGUAUAAUGGGUCAGCGACUUAUAUUCUGUAGCAAGGUUAACCGAAUAGGGGAGCCGAAGGGAAACCGAGUCUUAACUGGGCGUUAAGUUGCAGGGUAUAGACCCGAAACCCGGUGAUCUAGCCAUGGGCAGGUUGAAGGUUGGGUAACACUAACUGGAGGACCGAACCGACUAAUGUUGAAAAAUUAGCGGAUGACUUGUGGCUGGGGGUGAAAGGCCAAUCAAACCGGGAGAUAGCUGGUUCUCCCCGAAAGCUAUUUAGGUAGCGCCUCGUGAAUUCAUCUCCGGGGGUAGAGCACUGUUUCGGCAAGGGGGUCAUCCCGACUUACCAACCCGAUGCAAACUGCGAAUACCGGAGAAUGUUAUCACGGGAGACACACGGCGGGUGCUAACGUCCGUCGUGAAGAGGGAAACAACCCAGACCGCCAGCUAAGGUCCCAAAGUCAUGGUUAAGUGGGAAACGAUGUGGGAAGGCCCAGACAGCCAGGAUGUUGGCUUAGAAGCAGCCAUCAUUUAAAGAAAGCGUAAUAGCUCACUGGUCGAGUCGGCCUGCGCGGAAGAUGUAACGGGGCUAAACCAUGCACCGAAGCUGCGGCAGCGACGCUGAUGCGUUGUUGGGUAGGGGAGCGUUCUGUAAGCCUGCGAAGGUGUGCUGUGAGGCAUGCUGGAGGUAUCAGAAGUGCGAAUGCUGACAUAAGUAACGAUAAAGCGGGUGAAAAGCCCGCUCGCCGGAAGACCAAGGGUUCCUGUCCAACGUUAAUCGGGGCAGGGUGAGUCGACCCCUAAGGCGAGGCCGAAAGGCGUAGUCGAUGGGAAACAGGUUAAUAUUCCUGUACUUGGUGUUACUGCGAAGGGGGGACGGAGAAGGCUAUGUUGGCCGGGCGACGGUUGUCCCGGUUUAAGCGUGUAGGCUGGUUUUCCAGGCAAAUCCGGAAAAUCAAGGCUGAGGCGUGAUGACGAGGCACUACGGUGCUGAAGCAACAAAUGCCCUGCUUCCAGGAAAAGCCUCUAAGCAUCAGGUAACAUCAAAUCGUACCCCAAACCGACACAGGUGGUCAGGUAGAGAAUACCAAGGCGCUUGAGAGAACUCGGGUGAAGGAACUAGGCAAAAUGGUGCCGUAACUUCGGGAGAAGGCACGCUGAUAUGUAGGUGAAGCGACUUGCUCGUGGAGCUGAAAUCAGUCGAAGAUACCAGCUGGCUGCAACUGUUUAUUAAAAACACAGCACUGUGCAAACACGAAAGUGGACGUAUACGGUGUGACGCCUGCCCGGUGCCGGAAGGUUAAUUGAUGGGGUCAGCGCAAGCGAAGCUCUUGAUCGAAGCCCCGGUAAACGGCGGCCGUAACUAUAACGGUCCUAAGGUAGCGAAAUUCCUUGUCGGGUAAGUUCCGACCUGCACGAAUGGCGUAAUGAUGGCCAGGCUGUCUCCACCCGAGACUCAGUGAAAUUGAACUCGCUGUGAAGAUGCAGUGUACCCGCGGCAAGACGGAAAGACCCCGUGAACCUUUACUAUAGCUUGACACUGAACAUUGAGCCUUGAUGUGUAGGAUAGGUGGGAGGCUUUGAAGUGUGGACGCCAGUCUGCAUGGAGCCGACCUUGAAAUACCACCCUUUAAUGUUUGAUGUUCUAACGUUGACCCGUAAUCCGGGUUGCGGACAGUGUCUGGUGGGUAGUUUGACUGGGGCGGUCUCCUCCUAAAGAGUAACGGAGGAGCACGAAGGUUGGCUAAUCCUGGUCGGACAUCAGGAGGUUAGUGCAAUGGCAUAAGCCAGCUUGACUGCGAGCGUGACGGCGCGAGCAGGUGCGAAAGCAGGUCAUAGUGAUCCGGUGGUUCUGAAUGGAAGGGCCAUCGCUCAACGGAUAAAAGGUACUCCGGGGAUAACAGGCUGAUACCGCCCAAGAGUUCAUAUCGACGGCGGUGUUUGGCACCUCGAUGUCGGCUCAUCACAUCCUGGGGCUGAAGUAGGUCCCAAGGGUAUGGCUGUUCGCCAUUUAAAGUGGUACGCGAGCUGGGUUUAGAACGUCGUGAGACAGUUCGGUCCCUAUCUGCCGUGGGCGCUGGAGAACUGAGGGGGGCUGCUCCUAGUACGAGAGGACCGGAGUGGACGCAUCACUGGUGUUCGGGUUGUCAUGCCAAUGGCACUGCCCGGUAGCUAAAUGCGGAAGAGAUAAGUGCUGAAAGCAUCUAAGCACGAAACUUGCCCCGAGAUGAGUUCUCCCUGACUCCUUGAGAGUCCUGAAGGAACGUUGAAGACGACGACGUUGAUAGGCCGGGUGUGUAAGCGCAGCGAUGCGUUGAGCUAACCGGUACUAAUGAACCGUGAGGCUUAACCUUACAACGCCGAAG
rnacentral:rRNA from 1 species